UGCUGACAUGGUUGCUAUAUCAGAUGAUGCACCAGAUUUAUCAACAUGAAAACGUGGGCAUCUGAAUUUAGGAGAAGGGUGAGUUUUGAAGACGACACAAGGACUGGAUGUCCUGCAACAGCCACCAUCGAGGAAAACAUUGAUCGUGUUCACCACGGUGACGGAUGACAGGCGAUUAACUAUAAAUCAAAUGCCAAUGUUAUUAGCAUAUCCCCGUGAGAGAGUUGAGAAUAUUCUGCACAAUGAACAUGGCAUGACGAAGGUAUCUCUUCGGUGAGCGCCACGUCUUCUGACAGCCGACCAAAAGCGGUCCAUUACGGGAAAAUCUGAUAUUGUUUGAACUAGAUCUCCGGAUGGUUUCCUUGAACGUUUCCUAACCCAUGUUGAGUGUUGGCUUCGUCACUUUGCUCCGAUUUAUUGCUAUUUGCUCAAUAAUCAUUCUCUACUCGACGAGUGGUGGUGGGGCAUAAUUUUGUAUUUAGAAUACAAGCAUACAAUGCAAAGUAUAGAAAAUAAAUAGGUGCAAUAACCACCGGAUGGAGGUGGUCACGGUACAAAGUCUCAGACGUCAGACAAAGAAAACAUAGUAAACAGAUUUUUCUUUCCCAAAUUCACACUCAACUAAAAUUUGAAUAUAUCUCACGAUGAACCCUACGUUCUACCUUUUAAAAACCAUGUACCAAUUCGAAUAUCUUAAAAUAAUAACGGGUUCUGCAGUAACAGAUGGUUUACUUAGUCAAAUAACAAAAUACAAUAAACUGCAGACGAUAAUUCAUCGAAAGAAUAGGGGAUGUAAUGAAAGUUAUUUUCCCUUACAUAUGCCAUUAUAAAUACGCAUGUUCAACAAGCGCGUUUUCCGUUUCCGUUUUGAAUCCAUCUUGAAGUUUUUGAUGGAAUAAUUUUUGUCAUCUUCCAGACACAAACAAAAACGUAUCAAAGUACUUCAGAAAACAUUUCUAAUAUCAGAUGAUGCUGACACCAAAGAAUUUUUACUUCAGAUGCAUCAAUAAUGUUUAUCAUCUUUUUAAACUAAAG